UACGAAGGGUGCAAACGUUGCUCGGAAUUAUUGGGCGUAAAGCGCACGUAGGCGGCUAUCUAAGUCGGAUGUGAAAUCCCUCGGCUUAACCAAGGAAGUGCACCCGAAACUGGAUAGCUUGAGUACAGAAGAGGAUCGCGGAAUUCCCGGUGUAGAGGUGAAAUUCGUAGAUAUCGGGAGGAACACCAGUGGCGAAGGCGGUUGCCUGGGGCUUUGCUGACGCUGAUGCGCGAAAGCGUGGGGAGCGAUCCGG
rnacentral:rRNA from 1 species